GACGAACGCUGGCGGCGCGCCUAACACAUGCAAGUCGAACGAGCGAGAGGGAGCUUGCUUUCUCGAGCGAGUGGCGAACGGGUGAGUAACGCGUGAGGAACCUGCCUCAAAGAGGGGGACAACAGUUGGAAACGACUGCUAAUACCGCAUAAGCCCACGGGUCGGCAUCGACCAGAGGGAAAAGGAGCAAUCCGCUUUGAGAUGGCCUCGCGUCCGAUUAGCUAGUUGGUGAGGUAACGGCCCACCAAGGCGACGAUCGGUAGCCGGACUGAGAGGUUGAACGGCCACAUUGGGACUGAGACACGGCCCAGACUCCUACGGGAGGCAGCAGUGGGGGAUAUUGCACAAUGGGGGAAACCCUGAUGCAGCGACGCCGCGUGAGUGAUGAAGUAUUCGGUAUGUAAAAACUCUAUCAGCAGGGAAGAUAAUGACGGUACCUGACUAAGAAGCACCGGCUAAAUACGUG
rnacentral:rRNA from 1 species